rnacentral:misc_RNA from 1 species
AAGUCGUAACAAGGUCUCCGUUGGUGAACCUGCGGAAGGAUCAUUAUUGAAAACAAGGGUGUCCAAUUUAACUUGGAACCCAAACUUCUCAAUUCUAACUUUGUGCAUCUGUAUUAAUGGCGAGCAACUCCGGUUGUGAGCCUUCACUUACAAAACACUAGUCUACGAAUGUAAAAUUUUUAUAACAAAUAAAAACUUUCAACAACGGAUCUCUUGGCUCUC